rnacentral:rRNA from 1 species
UGGGGAAUCUUGCACAAUGGGGGAAACCCUGAUGCAGCGACGCCGCGUGAGCGAUGAAGCCCCUCGGGGUGUAAAGCUCUUUCGGCAGGGAAGAUUAUGACGGUACCUGCAGAAGCAGCUGCGGCUAACUACGUGCCAGCAGCCGCGGUAAUACGUAGGCAGCAAGCGUUGUUCGGAGUUACUGGGCGUAAAGGGUGUGUAGGCGGUCUUCUAAGUUUGGUGUGAAAUCUCCCGGCUCAACUGGGAGGGUGCGCCGAAUACUGAAAGACUAGAGUGCGGGAGAGGAUAGUGGAAUUCCUGGUGUAGCGGUGAAAUGCGUAGAUAUCAGGAGGAACACCGGUGGUGUAGACGGCUAUCUGGACCGUAACUGACGCUGAGACACGAAAGCGUGGGUAGCAAACAGGAUUAGAUACCCUGGUAGUCCACGCCCUAAACGAUGCAUAUUUGGUGUGGGCAGUUCAGUCUGUCCGUGCCGGAGCUAACGCGUUAAAUAUGCCGCCUGGGGAGUACAGUCGCAAGGCUG